UGCCCUGUGGUGUAAUUGGCAACACGUUUGACUCUGGAUCAAAAGUCUCUAGGUUCGAGCCCUAGCAGGGCAG
rnacentral:tRNA from 1 species